rnacentral:rRNA from 1 species
AUUGAACGCUAGCGGUAUGCUUUACACAUGCAAGUCGAACGAGUGGCGGACGGGUGAGUAAUAUAUCGGAACGUGCCCAUUAGCGGGGUAUAACUACUCGAAAUAGUGGCUAAUACCGCAUACUAUUUUAGCUGCCGAUAUCGGAUUAGCUAGUUGGUGGGGUAAAGGCUCACCAGGGCAACGAUCCGUAGCUGGUUUGAGAGGACGACCAGCCACACUGGGACUGAGACACGGCCAAGAGUCCUACGGGAGGCAGCAGUGGGGAAUUUUGGACAAUGGGGGAAACCCUGAUCCAGCCAUCCCGCGUGUAUGAGAAGGCCUUCGGGUUGUAAAGUACUUUUGGCAGAGAAGCGGUAUCUGCAGAAUAAGCACCGGCUAACUACGUGCCAGCAGCCGCGGUAAUUC